UAGGGAAUAUUGGACAAUGGUCGCAAGACUGAUCCAGCCAUGCCGCGUGCAGGAUGACUGCCCUAUGGGUUGUAAACUGCUUUUGUACGGGAAUAAACCCCUCUACGUGCAGAGGGCUGAAUGUACCGUAAGAAUAAGGAUCGGCUAACUUCGUG
rnacentral:rRNA from 1 species